rnacentral:rRNA from 1 species
GCCUGUAAGACUGGGAUAACUCCGGGAAACCGGAGCUAAUACCGGAUAGUUCCUUGAACCGCAUGGUUCAAGGAUGAAAGACGGUUUCGGCUGUCACUUACAGAUGGACCCGCGGCGCAUUAGCUAGUUGGUGAGGUAACGGCUCACCAAGGCGACGAUGCGUAGCCGACCUGAGAGGGUGAUCGGCCACACUGGGACUGAGACACGGCCCAGACUCCUACGGGAGGCAGCAGUAGGGAAUCUUCCGCAAUGGACGAAAGUCUGACGGAGCAACGCCGCGUGAGUGAUGAAGGUUUUCGGAUCGUAAAGCUCUGUUGUUAGGGAAGAACAAGUGCAAGAGUAACUGCUUGCACCUUGACGGUACCUAACCAGAAAGCCACGGCUAACUACGUGCCAGCAGCCGCGGUAAAUACGUAGGUGGCAAGCGUUGUCCGGAAUUAUUGGGCGUAAAGGGCUCGCAGGCGGUUUCUUAAGUCUGAUGUGAAAGCCCCCGGCUCAACCGGGGAGGGUCAUUGGAAACUGGGAAACUUGAGUGCAGAAGAGGAGAGUGGAAUUCCACGUGUAGCGGUGAAAUGCGUAGAGAUGUGGAGGAACACCAGUGGCGAAGGCGACUCUCUGGGUCUGUAACUGACGCUGAGGAGCGAAAGCGUGGGGAGCGAACAGGAUUAGAUACCCUGGUAGUCCACGCCGUAACGAUGAGUGCUAAGUGUUAGGGGGUUUCCGCCCCCUUUA